CCUACGGGAGGCAGCAGUGGGGAAUAUUGGACAAUGGGGGCAACCCUGAUCCAGCCAUGCCGCGUGUGUGAAGAAGGCCCUCGGGUUGUAAAGCACUUUCAGUGAGGAAGAACGCCUGGUGGUUAAUACCCAUCAGGAAAGACAUCACUCACAGAAGAAGCAGCGGCUAACUCCGUGCCAGCAGCCGCGGUAAUACGGAGGGUGCGAGCGUUAAUCGGAAUUACUGGGCGUAAAGCGCGCGUAGGUGGCUUGAUAAGCCGGUUGUGAAAGCCCCGGGCUCAACCUGGGAACGGCAUCCGGAACUGUCAAGCUUGUGUGCAGGAGAGGAAGGUAGAAUUCCCGGUGUAGCGGUGAAAUGCGUAGAGAUCGGGAGGAAUACCAGUGGCGAAGGCGGCCUUCUGGACUGACACUGACACUGAGGUGCGAAAGCGUGGGUAGCAAACAGGAUUAGAUACCCGAGGAGUC
rnacentral:rRNA from 1 species